UGGGGAAUAUUGCACAAUGGGCGCAAGCCUGAUGCAGCCAUGCCGCGUGUGUGAAGAAGGCCUUCGGGUUGUAAAGCACUUUCAGCGAGGAGGAAGGUGGUGAGCUUAAUACGCUCAUCAAUUGACGUUACUCGCAGAAGAAGCACCGGCUAACUCCGUGCCAGCAGCCGCGGUAAUACGGAGGGCGCAAGCGUUAAUCGGAAUUACUGGGCGUAAAGCGCACGCAGGCGGUUUGUUAAGUCAGAUGUGAAAUCCCCGGGCUCAACCUGGGAACUGCAUUUGAAACUGGCAAGCUAGAGUCUCGUAGAGGGGGGUAGAAUUCCAGGUGUAGCGGUGAAAUGCGUAGAGAUCUGGAGGAAUACCGGUGGCGAAGGCGGCCCCCUGGACGAAGACUGACGCUCAGGUGCGAAAGCGUGGGGAGCAAACAGGAUUAGAUACCCUGGUAGUCCACGCUGUAAACGAUGUCGAUUUGGAGGUUGUGCCCUUGAGGCGUGGCUUCCGGAGCUAACGCGUUAAAUCGACCGCCUGGGGAGUACGGCCGCAAGGUUAAAACUCAAAUGAAUUGAC
rnacentral:rRNA from 1 species